UACAGGGGGGGCAAGCGUUGUUCGGAAUUACUGGGCGUAAAGGGUCUGUAGGUGGCCAACUAAGUCAGACGUGAAAUCCCUCAGCUUAACUGGGGAACUGCGUCUGAUACUGGAUGGCUUGAGUGUGGGAGAGGAAUGCGGAAUUCCAGGUGUAGCGGUGAAAUGCGUAGAUAUCAAGAGGAACACUUGAGGUGAAGACGGGUUGCUGGGCUGACACUGACGCUGAUGCGCGAAAGCCAGGGGAGCAAACGGG
rnacentral:rRNA from 1 species